AAAAGACAUCCAACAGCAGGAGAGCAGAAAGGAUGGUGAAGAGGAAUAAACUGCAUUUUACUGCAAAGUUGGAAGACGUUGCUGACAUCAGGCACUGGGGAGCACCGCUUGCAUUUCCAGCAGGGAUCCUUUUGACUGACAGAGUUUUAUUUGUGUGAGCAGCUACCUCGCUGAAAUUUUCCUCCCUGUACAAAGGAAAGAGACUCCAGGCAGCCAGCUGGUGGAAGGACACGCCUGUCCUCAUUCCCCUUCUCAUGCAUGAAUGCACUGGCUGAUUUCAAGUGAAUUUGACAGGAAGCAGUGCUUUCCUUCUCACCCGAGCCCUUAAAC
ensembl:lncRNA